UGGGGAAUAUUGCACAAUGGGCGCAAGCCUGAUGCAGCCAUGCCGCGUGUAUGAAGAAGGCCUUCGGGUUGUAAAGUACUUUCAGCGGGGAGGAAGGCGAUAAGGUUAAUAACCUUGUCGAUUGACGUUACCCGCAGAAGAAGCACCGGCUAACUCCGUGCCAGCAGCCGCGGUAAUACGGAGGGUGCAAGCGUUAAUCGGAAUUACAGGGCGUAAAGCGCACGCAGGCGGUCUGUCAAGUCGGAUGUGAAAUCCCCGGGCUCAACCUGGGAACUGCAUUCGAAACUGGCAGGCUAGAGUCUUGUAGAGGGUGGUAGAAUUCCAGGUGUAGCGGUGAAAUGCGUAGAGAUCUGGAGGAAUACCGGUGGCGAAGGCGGCCCCCUGGACAAAGACUGACGCUCAGGUGCGAAAGCGUGGGGAGCAAACA
rnacentral:rRNA from 1 species